rnacentral:rRNA from 2 species
GCGAACAGAUGAGAAGCUUGCUUCUCUGAUGUUAGCGGCGGACGGGUGAGUAACACGUGGGUAACCUACCUAUAAGACUGGGAUAACUCCGGGAAACCGGGGCUAAUACCGGAUAAUAUUUUGAACCGCAUGGUUCAAUAGUGAAAGACGGUUUCGGCUGUCACUUAUAGAUGGACCCGCGCCGUAUUAGCUAGUUGGUAAGGUAACGGCUUACCAAGGCGACGAUACGUAGCCGACCUGAGAGGGUGAUCGGCCACACUGGAACUGAGACACGGUCCAGACUCCUACGGGAGGCAGCAGUAGGGAAUCUUCCGCAAUGGGCGAAAGCCUGACGGAGCAACGCCGCGUGAGUGAUGAAGGUCUUCGGAUCGUAAAACUCUGUUGUUAGGGAAGAACAAAUUUGUUAGUAACUGAACAAGUCUUGACGGUACCUAACCAGAAAGCCACGGCUAACUACGUGCCAGCAGCCGCGGUAAUACGUAGGUGGCAAGCGUUAUCCGGAAUUAUUGGGCGUAAAGCGCGCGUAGGCGGUUUCUUAAGUCUGAUGUGAAAGCCCACGGCUCAACCGUGGAGGGUCAUUGGAAACUGGGAAACUUGAGUGCAGAAGAGGAGAGUGGAAUUCCAUGUGUAGCGGUGAAAUGCGCAGAGAUAUGGAGGAACACCAGUGGCGAAGGCGGCUCUCUGGUCUGUAACUGACGCUGAUGUGCGAAAGCGUGGGGAUCAAACAGGAUUAGAUACCCUGGUAGUCCACGCCGUAAACGAUGAGUGCUAAGUGUUAGGGGGUUUCCGCCCCUUAGUGCUGCAGCUAACGCAUUAAGCACUCCGCCUGGGGAGUACGACCGCAAGGUUGAAACUCAAAGGAAUUGACGGGGACCCGCACAAGCGGUGGAGCAUGUGGUUUAAUUCGAAGCAACGCGAAGAACCUUACCAAAUCUUGACAUCCUUUGACCGCUCUAGAGAUAGAGUCUUCCCCUUCGGGGGACAAAGUGACAGGUGGUGCAUGGUUGUCGUCAGCUCGUGUCGUGAGAUGUUGGGUUAAGUCCCGCAACGAGCGCAACCCUUAAGCUUAGUUGCCAUCAUUAAGUUGGGCACUCUAGGUUGACUGCCGGUGACAAACCGGAGGAAGGUGGGGAUGACGUCAAAUCAUCAUGCCCCUUAUGAUUUGGGCUACACACGUGCUACAAUGGAUAAUACAAAGGGCAGCGAAUCCGCGAGGCCAAGCAAAUCCCAUAAAAUUAUUCUCAGUUCGGAUUGUAGUCUGCAACUCGACUACAUGAAGCUGGAAUCGCUAGUAAUCGUAGAUCAGCAUGCUACGGUGAAUACGUUCCCGGGUCUUGUACACACCGCCCGUCACACCACGAGAGUUUGUAACACCCGAAGCCGGUGGAGUAACCUUUUAGGAGCUA